GCAAUAUGGAAGAAGCAGCAGCAGCAGCUGCUGAAGAACAAGAAGACCAAUACGAACCAAGCAGUAGAAAAGUGACCUUUCAAUUUGGGAAUGGUGCGAGUGGAACAUUCAUUUGAGCAAGAAAGUGCGACCCAUGUGAAAUCGUGAAGGGCA